CUACAUAAUAAAUAAUUUUUUAUUUUCUAACUCUCUGACUGGACACAGGCACGAUUUAAAUAACAUACGCCAUGUGCGUGUAACCUAAAUAGGAGUAUCCCGAAGCUAAUUCACGACGCUAAUUCAUUCUGAUAUCUACAUUCUGGCUUCUUACUAUUGAAUGUUUUUAGAAAAAGAGUAUUUACUUUUUAACUUGCAUUAUACCAGUGGAAUUAUUCGAUAAUUGAACUGUAAUAUAAGGGCUAGAUGAAAUUUUUUAAUACCACUUAUAGCCACAUUGCGCUAUGAAUUUUCACUCUUUUUAAUGCUUGUGGCCAGUCAUUUUUCUUUUCCGCUGAACGGAUUUUCUUAUUCUAAGUGGCUUCACCCUUCUGAGAACUGGUCGCAGAGCCACAACCCAAAGCUUCUUCCGGUUAAAGACGAGUUGGCACUUAAGACGACAAUGUCUUCAAUUCUACAUUCAAUAUCGAUUCGGUCACCCGGCAGUUAUUCUGGCCCGUCCUGGAUUCGAUGCCUACACAAUCAUCACGCGAUUAUCUUAGAAGCUGGGAGCACACCGGCUACACGGGUCAACUGACAAUCCCAAUCUCUAAGAUACUCCUUCGAGAAGUGGCCAGAGUGCAGAUUUAUUUAUCAAAGAUCUCAAGUUAGUUGGAACCCGCCGACACAAGGGAUCAGUUUGCUUCAACGGGAAGGGCCUCCCAACCGCUUAACGUACCCUAGUAAUUCCUGGAGACAGGUGCCCCGCUUGCGGUAGGUUUAUCACCUGGUGCACGGUAGUCGUCAGAUCGUCUCGUGAGACGUGCGGUUAAGUCCCGCAACGAGCGCAACCCUCGUUCUAUGUUGCCAGCACGUGAUGGUGGGGACUCAUAGGAGACUGCCGGGGUCAACUCGGAGGAAGGUGGGGACGACGUCAAAUCAUCAUGCCCCUUAUGUCUUGGGCUUCACGCAUGCUACAAUGGCCGGUACAAAGGGUUGCGAUACUGUGAGGUGGAGCUAAUCCCAAAAAGCCGGUCUCAGUUCGGAUUGGGGUCUGCAACUCGACCCCAGAAGUCGAUCGCUGAUCCAUCCG
rnacentral:rRNA from 1 species